AAAACCCAACAGAUGCCUAUGAGAAAAAAGGCCACUCUCAACGUCUCUCUUGACUCUCUCAUUAAGAGAUCCCUCUCUCUGAAAACAAAAGGAUAUAAAAAAUAAAAUGGAACGACCUUUCCUCUUCUUCACUCGUCAAACCCUAAUCCGCCGCCACCCUUCAUCUUCUUUACUUCAUCAUCUUCCUCACGAAACCCUCAAUCUUCU
rnacentral:lncRNA from 1 species